rnacentral:tRNA from 1 species
UCCUCUGUAGUUCAGUCGGUAGAACGGUGACUGUUAAUCCGUAUGUCACUGGUUCGAGUCCAGUCAGAGGAG